rnacentral:rRNA from 1 species
AUUGAACGCUGGCGGCAGGCCUAACACAUGCAAGUCGAACGAGUGGCGGACGGGUGUGUAAUGUCUGGGAAACUGCCUGAUGGAGGGGGAUAACUAAUGGAAACGGUAGCUAAUACCGCAUACCCUCAGAUGUGCCCAGAUGGGAUUAGCUAGUUGGUGGGGUAACGGCUCACAAGGGCGACGAUCCCUAGCUAGUCUGAGAGGAUGACCAGCCACACUGGAACUGAGGCACGGUCGAAAGUCCUACGGUGGGCGGCAGUGGGGAAAUUUGCACGAUGAGCGCAAGCCUGAUGAAACCAUACGGCGUGAGUGAGGGAGGCCUUCGGGUUGUAAAGUACUUACAGCGGGGAGGCGUUACCCGCAGGAGAAGCGCCGGCGAACGCCGUGCCAGCAGCCGCGGUAAUAC